rnacentral:rRNA from 1 species
GAUGAACGCUGGCGGCGCGCCUAACACAUGCAAGUCGAACGGCACCCCUCCUCGGAGGGCAGCGAGUGGCGAACGGCUGAGUAACACGUGGAGAACCUGCCCCCUCCCCCGGGAUAGCCGCCCGAAAGGACGGGUAAUACCGGAUACCCCGGGGUGCCGCAUGGCACCCCGGCUAAAGCCCCGACGGGAGGGGAUGGCUCCGCGGCCCAUCAGGUAGACGGCGGGGUGACGGCCCACCGUGCCGACGACGGGUAGCCGGGUUGAGAGACCGACCGGCCAGAUUGGGACUGAGACACGGCCCGGACUCCUACGGGAGGGGGCGGUGGGGGAUCUUGCGCAGUGGGGGGAACCCUGACACAGCGACGCCGCGUGCGGGACGGAGGCCUUCGGGUCGUAAACCGCUUUCAGCAGGGAAGAGUCAAGACUGUACCUGCAGAAGAAGCCCCGGCUAACUACGUG